AUACGUAGGUGGCAAGCGUUGUCCGGAAUUAUUGGGCGUAAAGCGCGCGCAGGUGGUUCCUUAAGUCUGAUGUGAAAGCCCACGGCUCAACCGUGGAGGGUCAUUGGAAACUGGGGGACUUGAGUGCAGAAGAGGAAAGUGGAAUUCCAAGUGUAGCGGUGAAAUGCGUAGAGAUUUGGAGGAACACCAGUGGCGAAGGCGACUUUCUGGUCUGUAACUGACGCUGAGGCGCGAAAGCGUGGGGAGCAAACAGGAUUAGAUACCCUGGUAGUCCACGCCGUAAACGAUGAGUGCUAAGUGUUAGGGGGUUUCCGCCCCUUAGUGCUGCAGCUAACGCAUUAAGCACUCCGCCUGGGGAGUACGGUCGCAAGACUGAAACUCAAAGGAAUUGACGGGG
rnacentral:rRNA from 1 species